UACGUAGGUGGCAAGCGUUGUCCGGAAUUAUUGGGCGUAAAGCGCGCGCAGGCGGUCCUUUACGUCUGAUGUGAAAGCCCACGGCUCAACCGUGGAGGGUCAUUGGAAACUGGGUGGCUAGAGUGCGGGAGAGGAGAGUGGAAUUCCCGGUGUAGCGGUGGAAUGCGCAGAUAUCAGGAAGAACACCCGUGGCGAAGGCGACUGUCUGGCCAGAUACUGACGCUGAGGCGCGAAAGCGUGGGGAGCAAACAGG
rnacentral:rRNA from 1 species